CAGCUGGUGAAGAGCAGGCGUCUCUCAUGGGUUGCCACGCUUUUGCAGACUUGAUCCAAGGGUUAAAACGUUACAAGAACAGGGUUUUGUCUGAUCCAAGACUAGCGUAUGACUGGCUUAAACCCUCAUGUUGUCUAUGGUCGUAUGUCCAGAUUACCUACUCACCCAUGAAUUAUGUUAUAUGUUGCUAUAAGUGCUGGAGCUGCAAGCUACCUGUAAAUCUGAACCUGUGCUGGGCCUCCCAACCCCAGGUUUUCAGAUAUCCACUGGGCAUGGGAACUCUUGAGUAUUAUAAAGUAGCUUAUUUUUAUUUUCUGAAAGAAAUCUGAAGAGCAGUUCUGGAUCUCCAGUGGAAAGCGCAAUGGAAAAAAGGUUCUCAGGGAAGCUUUUGGAGUUUGCAACUACAGUAUUCCUUUGUCUGUCUUAAAUAUGAGAAUAGCUAUUAUGAAUAGGCCAAUACCAGAUAUUUCAUACAGAAGAAUUCUUAAUGUGUCAUGGUCCGGUGUUUAUGAUUUUUUGGAAGUCUGUUUGAUGACAGUUCUGGUUCUUUUCAUUAUUGUGAUCAUCCUUACAGUGGCGCAGUACUGCCAGUCCAGAGAUCAUACAUCAAUGCCAGAGAACGUUUGAGAUUGCGAUGAACUAAAAAAGAAACAAGCAAACAAACAAACAAAAAAACCCAACAAAAAGAGAUGUUAAUUGAUGGCCAGCAAAGUGCUUACCUAACAUAAAUCAGUGGUUGAUUUCUUGCAGGUAUCCACAUAGCGAUGGGUUUUCUUGGUUUGGUGUUCUAUUGUUUGUGCAAAAUCACAGCACAAGCACCAUUCUGGAGGAAAAAAAAAACAACAAAAAAAGGCAUUCAGGUAUUGGAUAUUCUUCCAAAGAAGCAUUCUGUAAGCUCGGGACACGCAAACCACCUGGGGGAGCGAAGGGGUGACCCAAGGAAAUGAAGGGGAGAAACCCCUUUGGGGUCCCGACAUGGGUGUGUUCACUCCCUGCAUGGCUCCUGGAGGCGGUGGGGAGGAUUUGGGUGGCCAAUGCUAAAGGCAAAGCUGUGGUGUCAUUUUGAGCCCAAUUCUGCGGAUAUUUAGGGUGUAAUCCGCGAUUUGGAGAGGUCAGUGGGGAGCUUCCCAUUGACUACAGCAGGCAUUGAGCGCAGCGUGGCGCGGGUUGGUUCCUGCUGGGACGUGCCAUGCUGAGCCAUUUGCAGGAUCAGGCUCCACGAGUUCACCCAUUUUAGAACCCAUUCCAAGUGCAAAAAUACAAAAGAAAGGGAAAAAAAAAAAAAAGAUAUAACAAUAAUUUGAGGUGUUAAAAACACGAUGUUCUUAACAUGUAAAUAGAGUCCAAAUUGAUUGUGACUGCAAUUCACUUAGUAUUUAAAAGUAGAGAAAUUGCACUUCCUGGAAGAAAGAGAGGAAAAAAAAAAAGAAAAAAGAAGUAGUUAGUUUAAUUAUCCUGUAAAUUAUUUAAUUUCGGCAAGAUGUAUGUAAUUUAUAUUUACAACACCUUCUGUUCACUUUUGCUAUUUAUUUAACUUUUUUAUUUAUUAAUUUUAUACUUACUUUAAAACUGGACUCCGCACCAUUGAAAGAAAAAAAAAAUGAAGAUAAAAGAAGCAAAAAAAAAAAAAGUUUAAAAAUUAAAACUUUUGACCAUAAAAAAGGACAUUCCC
ensembl:lncRNA